GGCAGCAGUGGGGAAUAUUGCGCAAUGGGCGAAAGCCUGACGCAGCCAUACCGCGUGUGUGAAGAAGGCCUUCGGGUUGUAAAGCACUUUCAGUGGGGAGGAAAAGCUGGUGGCUAAUAUCCAUCGGCCGUGACGCUACCCACAGAAGAAGCACCGGCUAAUUCCGUGCCAGCAGCCGCGGUAAUACGGAAGGUGCGAGCGUUAAUCGGAAUUACUGGGCGUAAAGCGCACGUAGGUGGCUUGGUAAGUCGGAUGUGAAAGCCCCGGGCUCAACCUGGGAACGGCAUUCGAUACUGCUGAGCUAGAGUACGAAAGAGGGGGGUGGAAUUCCAGGUGUAGCGGUGNAAAUGCGUAGAGAUCUGGAGGAACACCGGUGGCGAAGGCGGCCCCCUGGUUCGAUACUGACGCUGAGGUGCGAAAGCGUGGGGAGCAAACAGGGAUUAGAUACCCUGGUAGUCCACGCCGUAAACGAUGUCUGCUAGCCGUUGGGAUCCUUGAGGUUUCGGUGGCGCAGCUAACGCGAUAAGCAGACCGCCUGGGGAGUACGGCCGCAAGGUUAAAACUCAAAUGAAUUGACGGGGGC
rnacentral:rRNA from 1 species